rnacentral:rRNA from 1 species
CGCGUAUAGAAUCUGCCUUGUACAGGAGGAUAGCCUUUAGAAAUGAAGAUUAAUACUCCAUAAUAUUGAGAAGCGGCAUCACUAUCUAAUUAAACAUUUAUGGGUACAAGAUGACUAUGCGUCCUAUUAGCUAGAUGGUAAGGUAACGGCUUACCAUGGCAACGAUAGGUAGGGGGUCUGAGAGGAUUAUCCCCCACACUGGGACUGAGACACGGCCCAGACUCCUACGGGAGGCAGCAGUGGGGAAUAUUGCACAAUGGGGGAAACCCUGAUGCAGCCAUGCCGCGUGUGUGAAGAAGG